rnacentral:rRNA from 1 species
ACGGGAGGCAGCAGUAGGGAAUAUUGCACAAUGGGGGGAACCCUGAUGCGGCAACGCCACGUGUGGGAGGAAGCAUUUCGGUGUGUAAACCACUGUCGUGAGGGAAUGAUGCUUGAUUUCGGUCAAGUUGAAUGUACCUCGAAAGGAAGCACCGGCAAACUUCGUGCCAGCAGCCGCGGUAAUACGAGGGGUGCAAGCGUUGUUCGGAAUCACUGGGCGUAAAGGGAGCGUAGGCGGAGACGCAAGCAGUCUGUACAAUACCGGGGCCCAACCCCGGACCUGCAGACUGGACUGUGUCUCUUGGAUAGUUCAGGGGCAGGCGGAAUUCCUGGUGUAGCGGUGGAAUGCGUAGAGAUCAGGAAGAACACCGAUGGCGAAGGCAGCCUGCUGGGGACUCAUCGACGCUGAGGCUCGAAAGUGCGGGUAGCAAACAGGAUUAGAUACCCUGGUA